rnacentral:rRNA from 1 species
AAGCAUGACUCUCAACGAUGGAUAUCUUGGUCCUCACCUCGAUGAAGAACGCUGUGAAAUGCGAUACUUGAUGUGAAUUGUAGAAUCUCGUGAAACAUUGAGUUUUUGAACGCAAGUUGCGCCCGACGCCAUUCGGAGUAGGGCACGCCUGCUUGGGUGU